rnacentral:rRNA from 1 species
UGGCUCAGGACGAACGCUGGCGGCGUGCUUAACACAUGCAAGUCGAACGAAGCGGCAGUGAAGGAGGCUUCGGCCAAUGGAUCUGUCGACUUAGUGGCGGACGGGUGAGUAACGCGUGAGCAACCUGCCUUUCAGAGGGGGAUAACGUUUGGAAACGAACGCUAAUACCGCAUAAUGUAAUUUCGCUGCAUGACGGAAUUACCAAAGGAGCAAUCCGCUGAAAGAUGGGCUCGCGUCCGAUUAGAUAGUUGGUGGGGUAACGGCCUACCAAGUCGACGAUCGGUAGCCGGACUGAGAGGUUGAACGGCCACAUUGGGACUGAGACACGGCCCAGACUCCUACGGGAGGCAGCAGUGGGGAAUAUUGCACAAUGGGCGCAAGCCUGAUUGCAGCAACGCCGCGUGAGGGAAGACGGUUUUCGGAUUGUAAACCUCUGUCCUUGGCGAAGAUCAUGACGGUAGCCGAGGAGGAAGCCACGGCUAACUACGUGCCAGCCGCAGC